rnacentral:tRNA from 1 species
UUAAAGAUAGCUUAAUAAUAAAGCAUUGAUUUUGUAAGUCAAUGAUGGGUAAACCUCUUUAAA